UCCCUGGUGGUCCAGUGAUUAAGACUUCACCUUCCGAUGCAGGGAGUGCAGGUUCAAUCCCUGCUUAGGGAG
rnacentral:tRNA from 1 species